rnacentral:lncRNA from 1 species
CCAUUUAUAAAUACAAAGAGGAGAAAUAAAAGAUCAUAUUGAUCAAUCUACCUUGAUAAAUGAUAUUUAUAAUUAAAGGCUGGUUUUGUACCACAUUGAAUAUUGUAGUAAUUGUUUCAAUUAAAUAUAGAUAUUGAACAAAUUGAUUAAAUAAUCAAUUUUAAAUCCAUUUAUAUAUAUAAAGUGUAGAAAUAAAGGAUCAUAUUGAUCAAUCUACCUUGAUAAAUGAUAUUUAGAAUUAAAGGCUGAUUUUGUACCACAUUUCAUACGCUAUUAUAAAAAAAGAAGGCAAAUAAAGAAUUUAUUGAAGUAAUUGUUUCAAUUAAAUAAAGAUAUUGAACAAAUUGAUUAAAUAAUCAAUUUUAAAUCCAUUUAUAAAUAUAAAGAGUAAAAAUAAAAGAUCAUAUUGAUCAAUCUACCUUGAUAAAUGAUAUUUAGAAUUAAAGGCAGUUUUGUACCACAUUUAAUACUCUAUAAUCGAAAAUGAAGGCAAAUAAUGAAUUUAAUUAGGUAAUUGUUUCAAUUAAUAUAGAUAUUGAACAAAUUGAUUAAAUAAUCAAUUUUAAUUCAAUUAAAAAAUAUAAAGAGUCCAAAUAAAAGAUCUUAUUGUUCAAUCUACCUUCAUAAAUGAUAUUUAUAAUUAAAGUUUGGUUUUGUACCACAUUAAAUACUCUAUAAUAAAAAAAGAGGGCAUAAAUGAAUUUAUUGAAGUAAUUGUUUAAAUUAAAUAUAGAUAUUGAACAAAUUGUUUAAAUUAUCAAUUUUAAAUCCAUUUAUGAAUAUUAAAAGUAGAAAUUGGUGAUACAGUAUCCCGAACACGGUCACAACCUACCAGCAACUAGAAGUCCGGAUAGCCUAAGAUGAGUUGAGGUAUCUAUUCUAGGGUUGGGGAGGUCCCAGGUCGAAUCCUAGGAAGAUC